UACGAGAGGCCCAAACGUUAUUCGGAUUUACUGGGCUUAAAGAGUUCGUAGGCGGCGCAGAAAGUAGGGUGUGAAAGCCCUCGGCUCAACCGAGGAAUUGCGCUCUAAACUACUGUGCUCGAGGGACCUAGAGGUGAGCGGAACUGAUGGUGGAGCGGUGAAAUGCGUUGAUAUCGGAAGGAACGCCGGUGGCGAAAGCGGCGGACUGGACCUCUUCUGACGCUGAGGCGCGAAAGCCAGGGGAGCAAACGGG
rnacentral:rRNA from 1 species